UGUGUGGUCCGGGACGACGCGGACAGUGGGCUGUAUACAUCCUUCAUAGGACUUGUGAAUGGGGGGGGUCGAGUUUUCCCUGUUAUAUAUUUUCCCUCCCUGAUCGGUGCUAGAGUUAUACGAGGGAUAAGAGAGCUUGGACUCGCCACUCCUCGCUCUAGGAGGGGGGCUAGAAUUGAAAAUCAGCAUGGAGUCUCAGAGCACAGUAGUUGAAGCAGAUUCGACAUCAAUCAUCCCAACUCUAGAAUCUCUUUCAAAUGCAGUUCAUUCUUCAGUGUCUCUCCCAGAUGGGGUUAAUUCCUCUCAGUCACUUUCUGCUUCAUCAUCCCCUACACAGUCUCCACUCACUGUUAUUACAUCUUCAGGUUCCUUAACAGUGUGGCCCCCAUCACAAUAUAUCCCAACAGAUUGUCCCCAUUCACAGUCUCCAAUAUCAGAAUAUCUUCUUUCAAACUCUCCUCCAGUCGAAUCUUUGCCAAUAUCUCCCUCACAGUCAUCUGUUUGGAGUUCUAUUCAAACUGUGUCAACUGCCUUACCAUCGUCACAAUCCACAGCCAACAUAUCCAUCUUAAAUUCAUCAACAGGACCUCAUUCCAUGCCUGUACUGUCCUCUACUGCUUUACCUUCUUCCCAACCCUCAUCAGUCUUGCCUCUCCUCCCUUCAGCAGUAAUUUCUCCCUCAUUGUCAUCCACAGAGUUAACUUCAUCACAGUCUCUACUCACAGAGUUGCAAACUUCGCAGACUCAGUCUACCUCUGUAUCAUCUUUCGACUCGGCACAACAAUUAUCACCAUUUCAACUCUCCCUCUCUGCAAUAUCCACUGUAUUAUCACCACUUUCCCCACCCUUAGUGUUAUCCAACCCACAAUCUCCUCAUGCAGUGCCAGUAGACCAAGAAUCAUUCUACCUGCCAAGUACUUCUUCAGGAAGUUGGCGAUAUGACCCCUUAGCCUCUCCAGACUGGGAUCGUGCAGGCCCACCUGGAAAUCUUUGUGCUGGUCGUGUAAAGAAGGACCUCAGCAGUAUUUUUACUGAGCCUUUGCCGGGGAUUUUUGCAGCGCCUGAGGAAGACAACCUAUUCAAAGUUCACUGCCUUAUCAUUGGGCCAUUUGAUACACCAUAUGAGGGAGGAUUCUUCCAUUUUCUUGUCCGGUUUGGCCCACAGUACCCUCUUCACCCACCCAGAGUGCGACUAUUGACGACUGGAGGAGACUCGGUUAGAUUCAAUCCCAAUCUCUACAAAAAUGGCAAAGUUUGCCUCAGCAUUUUGGGUACUUGGUCAGGUCCAGCGUGGAGUCCGGCCUCCAAUCUCUCGAGUGUGUUGUUAUCUCUCCAGUCUCUCAUGAAUGAACGCCCAUACCACAACGAACCUGGCUAUGAAGAGGAACAUAACAUUGGAGACAGUGAACGUUAUAACUCCAUCAUCAUGCAUGAGACCAUCAGGGUUGCCGUCAUACAGCAGCUCGAAGGCAUUACCACUGCCCCACCUGACCUCCUCAAGGUCAUGCAGGCAUCAUUUAUGGAGUAUUUUGACCAUUAUGUUGAAAUCUGUGAGAAGAAUAAACACAGAGAUGGACAGACAAUGGAUGAUCCUUUUGGAGAGAGGCGAGGUCGUUUUCAGUAUGGUAUAUUGCUGAAACACCUGAAAAAAUUGAAGAUAAAGUUGAAGGCAAGUGGUAUCCCAGAAGUACCUGAGGCUCCUAUCUCAACAGAAAAUGAUGAUGUUUCGAGUAUAUCUGAGAGUGAUGAAGGCUCACCAGCAAGUGAAGCUGAUUUUGUAUUCGAGUAGGCAAAGUUUCUUAACAUCGGAUUGAUGCUGGAGGGAUAAUGAAUGCCUUAUAAUGGAAACUUUAAGGAAAUGUUACUGUAGAGGGUCACCUGGCAUUCAGAUAUCUGAAGUAGGCACACAGUCUACUAGAGCCUGUAACCAUUCCAUUUUGUCUACACUAUUCCAGAAAUUGGAAAUAGUAAAUUAUUGCCAGAUAAAUUUCCAGUCAACAAAACUAGUAUAUUGUAUGAUUUUUUUUAUGUGGUCAGUGAUCCCCCCAAAAUGUAUGUUACAGUAACAACUUUGAAGACUACAAAAAUAACAUUUGUUAUGUGGAUAUAUUGUACUUGCAUUGCGUUUUUGUUAUUAGGUAUUUAAAGUAUACAGCGCACUUCAUGAUGUGUGCAUAAUUGUUCAUGUGUAGACAUUCGACCAUUCUUGCAGAAACUUCCAUUACUUUCUAAAUAGUACUAUUGUAAAUACCUUUUGAGAUUCGAGUGUUUUGAUACAGUAAACCAAUUAUUCAAAAUUUUGUACAAAGUACGUAUGUUUAAUUGAACAAUUUAAAUAUGGGGUGUAAUACCAGUCCCGGGAGUGUACAUGGCACUUUGAUGCUUUUGUAUUUAUAGAAAAUGUGAUUAUGCAGCUAAGAUCUUUUGUGAAAAUGUCAGGUUAGAUUAACGUGAAAUUGUAUUUAAUGUACGGUACUGUACACCUCUAAUGUUUUGGGAUCCUUGUUUUUUGUGAAUAAAUGUUAGGCUUUCAGGAGGUAAUUUGCAAGUUUUAAUUAAUAAUGGAGAGUAAAGUUGAUUUUAUAAUUUGUGUGCAUCUCGACUAUUUAAUUUGUUUAUUAUUAUACCAUAAGCUAAUUUUCUGAGUGGAGUCCCUACAGGUCCCUGGAGCUAUCAGGCUGAUGUGUGUUAUAUUAGUCUGGGGCAUCAGUCAAUUGGAGUUCAUCCUACCGGGGACCACAAGCCAGAACCUGCCCCCCUCAGAGGCAAGGAAAGCAAUGGCCUACAGAAGCCCCCAUGUGGUUGGGGGCAUUCCAUGUCUGCCAUCGACUGGGGUUGGCACCCAGAAAGGUAGGCACCAGCUACCCAAGCCAUCUAGGGCGUUGUCUGGAGUGGAUGUUGACUCAAGCCUCAGAUUCCCGUGCAGUUGUGUGCCUUAAUGGUGUGUUUCUGCUGUGUGUGAAGUGCGGUGGCCAGGUGUACCUUGACUAAUACUGGGGCUGCAUGCACUCGGGGUUCUCUUCCCCGGGCGCUCUGUAAGUACUACCCUUUGGUUCUAGGGUUACCCUGCCAUAUAACUUUCAGGAACCGCUUCCGUAGGGGUCUUUGCCACUCGGCUCUUACCCCGCCCUUGGGCCCAGCUGGGGUUUUCGUGGCUUCUGUUUGGCCUUAGGCAGGAAGUGGUAUCGUUUGCUGGUAUGCAGCGCAAGGUACUGCACAGCUCGCCUACCUACACUGCAGCUGGUUUCUGUUCCUUAUGGAGACGUCCUUUUGCGGGGGUUUUCUUUUAAUUUUUGUUUUCUUGCUUGGAGGGGGGUCUGCCUUAUUUGGCUCUUGGUCCAUUUCUGUUGGUUGGGUGGCCCCCCUCUAGGGCCCCCGUAACUGGACACGUCGCAGGGGUUCAGCCUUAGCAGAUUCCCUUGUUAGUUUGAGCCCAGCCAGUUUUUCAGUACCUUGCAUGGUCUUCCCGUAGCAGUUAGCCUGCGGGCCCUGGAAAUCUCCAUUGGGGUUCAUUAGACUUGUAGAUGUGUCUUCUGAGUUCCACCUCACCUCGUGCGAGUUUAAAGGUUGAUGUGUGCCCUUGUCUCAGGGUGACAGUCACCGCUUUCGCCUCUGUCAUGCUGCAUGUUGGGUUAACGACAUCUUUGACCCAGAGUCUUGCGUGUCAUGCUCUCUGCUUGUUCUCCAAUUUACCCAUUCUGAUGACGUUGAUAUUUGGGUUCAAGCAUCAUCCACAUUACAUGCUCGUUUUAGGUUGCCUCAAUACACUAGGUUGGUUGCCCACCCGGAUGCCCCAUGGCUGCCUCGUUUUGGUUAUACGGACCCAGACCUGGGGGGCGUUAGUCACUUCGACUUUGGUGCAGUCCGCGCUCUCCGGUCCUUCCCCUGUUGUUCAUUCUGUUUGCCCUUCCCUGUUUCCGGCUCCCAAACAUCUGAGGGUUUCAGAUUCAGGGCAAGGUUAAGUUGGUAAUGAGACUCGGGGCAGCUUCAGGGACUGACCCAUUCAGGUUGGGGAUGGAGGCAUUCAAGCCAAUUCUUCCUGCCAAGGCUUCUGGGUCCCACCAGCAGGCCCCCCUUCUUUUCUGCUUUUCUCCUGGACUCUGCCUUUUCUUCAAGGGUAGAGGGUAUAAAGGACUACUCUGCACCAUGUCCUGGUUUGGAGGAUUCCGGGGCUUGGGCCUCCUUUGACCCCAGGGGCCAAAGAGUAGGUGGUGGUACCCUCUUUGCAGGACUUGUUGUUGCAGGGGAGGGGUUUUCUUACCCUCCCCCCCCCCAGUACCUGUCUGAGUAUGAUUUGGGGUCGGCUCCUCCUUGGGUUCGGUUCCAGGUUCCCUUGGGUUCCUUGGCUCCUUUCCGGAGGUUUUCUGCCUCUCGUAUCUCACCAAGAGAUACGCAGGAGGUUCGGGAGGCGCUUGCUGCUUACCUCCUGCGAGACCCGGAUUCUGCCUCCGUGAUGGAUCCGUCCUCGUUUGAGUUUGGUUUUUCUUCCCCGUAUUGGGUGCAUUUGGAGGCUGCGGAGUCUUCCAGACUAGCAGACUGCCAGAAUGUUCCUUCCCUUUUGGCGUCCUUGGUUGCUGAAGAUUUGAGCUCCGGUGGGUCAUUUGGCUUCGGUUUUGCGGUUCUUUUCCCUUUUCGAGUUGUCUUUGGCCUGGCUUGAGGAGGAUGUGGAGGCGUUGAGGGCCAGGCUUUUGUCUGAUGCGCUGACAUCGACAGCUUUGGUGUCGGCCGUACCGUUGAAGCUCUUUAUGCCGAUUCUCAAAGAUGCAGUGUCUCUGUUCUUUGCUUCUCCCCUUGCGUGCCAUCAGGCUGUGCUCUCUCUCUCUCUCUUUGGAAUCCACUUGGGCCCCUGGCUCUUAGGUUUUCUUCACCGUUUUGUCUGUUGCUAUUUGCGGGGACUGCAGUCAUGCAGUUUCUGCAAGCAGCUUAGUCUAGUUGUAGUCCUAUGUCGGACUUGCUGGUUCUCCAGGGUGACUGUUCUCGGCCUUCUCUGAAAGGUCAUGCCAGGGCUCAGGGUUCCUCUGGUCAGGGUGGGCCAUUGGUGCCAGUUUCUGAGUCGAUGUUGCCUUCAGAGUCAGCGUCAUCUGGUCGGCGCGGUGAUCUCUCUGUUCGUUGGUCAGCUUCUUGUAAUGAGCAUCGUUUUUUUCGCGGUUCACCCCAUUGACGAAGUCACUUUUUACAUAAGUAACGAACAGCUACUUAUCAUGACAAGUAACAGGGGGGGGGGGGGAAGGCUCGUACUGUUUGCUCACGCUUGGUCCCACAAUUAGUGGCCGUUUCAGGUCAUAUCCACCAGUCUGUGGUGGCAUUGGGCAGCUCCUCCUUCGGGGGGUUUGGGACAGGCCUCCUCUCCUGCGCUUUGUCAGGUCAGGUCAUCUUGGAGUGGGUUUGCUUGGGCGUAGUUGAAACGUCCUCGUUCCUCAGGUGGGUUUCCCACCUGUUACAAAACGGGACUGCACGGACCUGCAGUUCAUUCUGGACUUGUUCCGUCUGAUCCCCUGGGUCUAUUACUUCUCUUUUCAGAUGACUACUCUGUCCCAGGUUCGUUUUCUUUUGGAGCUUGGCGCUUUGUGACCAGUGCUCACCAGGCCAGCCAGGGGUGGUGGGGCCUGUCCUUCCGUCCACAGCACGGUGCGGGAGUUUGUGACCGUGUGGAUGUCACUUCGGAGAGUUCAGGUGGUUGCUUGAGGUUCAACGAUCCGGCUCCAUUUCGACUGCUCCCCGGUGGUUCAUUGCCUGAACCGGGGGGGGGGGGGGUUUCGAUGCUGUCCUUGGCUCUUUAGGGGCUGGUUGCUUCGGGUGACUCGUCUGCUGAGUUCUCGGGGUUUGGCUCUCCUGGCCGUUCAUAUUUGGGGGGUGGGGGGUGGGGGGUGGGGGUUAUCCAACGUCCUGGCUGACAGCCUGUCUCAGUUCAUUACCUUGUCCAUGGGAUGGAUGGUCGAUGCAAGAUAACAGACUCGUUACGUUGGCUCUGCCAGACGUACGGGCUCCUGGAGGUGGACUAAUUCGCAGUGGCGUGGUCGAGGCGUCUCUCAAAUUAUGUGGCGCCCUACCCCCAACUGUGAGGCCGUCGGGGUAGAUGCCUUCAAGCAGGACUGGUCGAGGUGGGGUUAACUGUACCUCUUUCCCUCGGUUCUGCUGUUGCUUUAUAUCCUGGCUCGCUUGGAGAUUUACCAGGAAAGAGUAGUCCUGUUGGCCCCUUGGUGGCCGCCCCAGCCUUGGAUUCAGGCGCUGCUUGCUCGGUGCCCAAACCCAGGGGUCUUCCCGCAGCUCUGCCUCUUUCAGCAGAUCGGGCCAGUCCAUCAUGUAGCUGGUUCGAUCUUCUCCUCAAGUCUGCGUGUCUGGUCUUUGUGGUGCGGGUCUAUCACCCUCGUCACAAAUUGUAUGUGAGCAGGUGGCUUCGUUGAUGGUGUCCCACCUGCGUGCUUCGUCUCGGCAGCAAUGUGAAGUUUUCUGGCAGUCCGUUCAUUAUUUCUUGUCCCUCCGUAGGUUUUCUUCGGUUUCAGAUCAGGUUGUCUUGUCCUUCCUUUUUUGGUUGGUUCAGGUCCAUCAUCUUAUGCCAAAUACUGCCACCUCAUAUCGUGCGGCACUGGCGGAGCCGCUUCAGCUUGUGUUCGGGGUGGAUGUUACUUCU